rnacentral:rRNA from 1 species
UAAUACGUAGGGGGCGAGCGUUAUUCGGAAUUACUGGGUGUAAAGGGUAUGUAGGCGGCCUGACAAGUCGCGUGUCAAAGUCCAGCGCUCAACGCUGGGUUCGCACGCGAUACUGUCAGGCUUGAGGACUGGAGAGGUGAGCGGAAUUCCCGGUGUAGUGGUAAAAUACGUAGAUAUCGGGAGGAACACCAGCGGCGUAGGCGGCUCACUAGACAGUUUCUGACGCUAAGAUACGAAAGCGUGGGGAGCAAACAGGAUUAGAUACCCUGGUAGUCCACGCCCUAAACGAUGGAUACUUGGUGUUGGGGGGUUACCUUCAGUGCCGGAGCUAACGCGUUAAGUAUCCCACCUGGGGACUACGGCCGCAAGGCUAAAACUCAAAGGAAUUGACGG